UCUCUUUGGCUGCGAUCCGCCUACGAGUAUGUAGUUGUAUGGUGGGGAUGAUAUCUUGGGCCUUAUUUGUGAGUGGCCGAGAUGCGGGAGACACAAGGUGGCUAUGGUGCUGGCCGAAAGCCAUCAACUCUGCAAGAGCGCCGUGAAGGUUAGCGCGACGACCACCAUGUAAAGCCGAUACGGUGUUGGGCGGCGUGACGCAAGUUCGCCACCGCUGGGUCGGAUGGAAACGCCGGGACCCGUUGCUGUUGAACAGUGGAGGAAGUGUUAAGGUAAGAUUCAUUUUUGUGGUGUUUUCGCGGUUCUGGGUAGUGAGUGGGCCUUUACUGUUAGGGUGAAGUUUGCUCUUGUGCUGACAUUAACAUAAGUAAACAGCCCGUAGUAUAGUCACGGAUAUUCUGUAAUGGGCCUUUUUUUUUUUCUUGCAGGUACUGUAGUGGUUGAGAUCGUCUCUGGUCAACUUACAGGGAAUCUUCGCUUUUAAUUUUUGAAAAUUGAAUAUUUUAUAUUAAAUAAAAGAUGUUUGGUGUGUAAUAA
rnacentral:lncRNA from 1 species